rnacentral:rRNA from 1 species
GUCGAGCGGCGGACGGGUGAGUAAUGCCUAGGAAAUUGCCCUGAUGUGGGGGAUAACCAUUGGAAACGAUGGCUAAUACCGCAUGAUGCCUACGGGCCAAAGAGGGGGACCUUCGGGCCUCUCGCGUCAGGAUAUGCCUAGGUGGGAUUAGCUAGUUGGUGAGGUAAGGGCUCACCAAGGCGACGAUCCCUAGCUGGUCUGAGAGGAUGAUCAGCCACACUGGAACUGAGACACGGUCCAGACUCCUACGGGAGGCAGCAGUGGGGAAUAUUGCACAAUGGGCGCAAGCCUGAUGCAGCCAUGCCGCGUGUGUGAAGAAGGCCUUCGGGUUGUAAAGCACUUUCAGUCGUGAGGAAGGUAGUGUAGUUAAUAGCUGCAUUAUUUGACGUUAGCGACAGAAGAAGCACCGGCUAACUCCGUGCCAGCAGCCGCGGUAAUACGGAGGGUGCGAGCGUUAAUCGGAAUUACUGGGCGUAAAGCGCAUGCAGGUGGUUUGUUAAGUCAGAUGUGAAAGCCCGGGGCUCAACCUCGGAAUAGCAUUUGAAACUGGCAGACUAGAGUACUGUAGAGGGGGGUAGAAUUUCAGGUGUAGCGGUGAAAUGCGUAGAGAUCUGAAGGAAUACCGGUGGCGAAGGCGGCCCCCUGGACAGAUACUGACACUCAGAUGCGAAAGCGUGGGGAGCAAACAGGAUUAGAUACCCUGGUAGUCCACGCCGUAAACGAUGUCUACUUGGAGGUUGUGGCCUUGAGCCGUGGCUUUCGGAGCUAACGCGUUAAGUAGACCGCCUGGGGAGUACGGUCGCAAGAUUAAAACUCAAAUGAAUUGACGGGGGCCCGCACAAGCGGUGGAGCAUGUGGUUUAAUUCGAUGCAACGCGAAGAACCUUACCUACUCUUGACAUCCAGAGAACUUUCCAGAGAUGGAUUGGUGCCUUCGGGAACUCUGAGACAGGUGCUGCAUGGCUGUCGUCAGCUCGUGUUGUGAAAUGUUGGGUUAAGUCCCGCAACGAGCGCAACCCUUAUCCUUGUUUGCCAGCGAGUAAUGUCGGGAACUCCAGGGAGACUGCCGGUGAUAAACCGGAGGAAGGUGGGGACGACGUCAAGUCAUCAUGGCCCUUACGAGUAGGGCUACACACGUGCUACAAUGGCGCAUACAGAGGGCGGCCAACUUGCGAAAGUGAGCGAAUCCCAAAAAGUGCGUCGUAGUCCGGAUUGGAGUCUGCAACUCGACUCCAUGAAGUCGGAAUCGCUAGUAAUCGUGGAUCAGAAUGCCACGGUGAAUACGUUCCCGGGCCUUGUACACACCGCCCGUCACACCAUGGGAGUGGGCUGCAAAAGAAGUAGGUAGUUUAACCUUCGGGGGGACGCUUACCACUUUGU